rnacentral:tRNA from 1 species
GGGGAUUUAGCUCAGCGGUUCCAGUGCCUGCCUCGCAAGCACAAGGUCCCAAGUUCAAGACCUGGAAACCCCC